rnacentral:lncRNA from 1 species
AUUUUGAUUGUUAUUAAUAAACCGAUAGGGAUCCACGCCAAAUCCUCCACCAUUACAAGAUGAUUUUUUAUUUUUAUAAAAAAAAUCUCACAUCUAUUUUUAAUUUUACUUCUUAACUUUUUUAUAAUUUAUAAAAAAAUAUAUAUUUAAAAUUAAAAAAAGGGCUGGGCCCAUGUUGGACCCAUGCCGAAUUAUGCCGUGCCAGC